ensembl:lncRNA
AAAAAAAGAAAAAAAGAGUCUUCUCAGGGAAGCACAUGGACAAACAGGAAAUGCAUGGAAAGGAACUGAUGAAGUAGUGAAGCACUAAGAAAUGUAUAGAUGUGGCACUUAGCAGCAUAGCUUAGUGGCAUGGUAGUGAUGGUUUGACAGUUGGACUACAUGAUCUUAGAGGUCUUUUGCAACCUUAAUGAUUCUAUGAUUCUAAGAAAAGAAUCUGGCACAGUGUGAGACAGGAGGGUAACACAGAAUAACUCUAACACUUUCAGACCAGAGCAAGUUGAAAUCCAUGUGUCCACUGCUUCCAGCUGUGCGCCAGUCUUUGUGCUGAUGAACCACAGAAGGCCUCCCUCAGCAGUAUCUUCAAGCAAAAUACCUGCAGUCACUGAUGGAAGGGCCUUUCUGUUCUGCACCGGUUGUGAACAAGCAGCAGGACAGCAUCUCCAACCACCCGGGCUGAGGCCACUGAUUCACAUGAAAUAUCUUGGUACUUUUCUUACCCAUGGGCGGAAUGAGCAGCCACCAGAGAACAACUACUGCCUCUUUCCUGAAGAUUGAAGUAUCCCAAAUCUGCUUUAUCAAGACAGGCUCUGUACCCUCUUCAUUGGGUGGCACUCCUCCUGGUGGGAAUGGCAUUGCAAUCUGUGAGCUGGACACAAGGGCCUGAUCAAAAUUUCAGUCCCUGCGUGUGAUAUAUGGCGAUGGGAAAUCAUUUGCAGAAGAGAUCCUCGUGUGGGAGUAGACCAAGAAAAAUCAUCCCUCACUCACUCUGCAGUAGAGAUGUGGCCAAAACAUAGCAUCAUACCAGCCACUAUGAAGGAGAAAACAACUCUGUCCCAGCUGAAACCAGGACAAUAUGAAGACUCUGCACUGACCUUGACACCCAGCUUCCCUGAGAAACAGGAACAGCCAACUGCUGGUGUGAAGAAAUCUGAUGACCAACGUGGAUAGUGAUAACAAAAAAAAUCUUCCUAAAAGCCUACAACUUCAAAAAUAAUGUUUUUUUCUUCCCCCCUUACUCCUGAAAAUCAAACUUUGCUUUACAUAAUUAACCCCUACAUUUGGCAGCUGAAACUUUUUUUUUUUUUCCCAUAUGAUCAGACCUAAGACAAACCCUUGAAAUAUUUUGCUGUUGAAAACUUGGAUGAAAAUAUCUUGGUCUGUGUGUGGAAUUCAUCUGCAAUGGGAUCCGGAUGGCCAUAACCUCAACCUGAAAUGUGACAUUAUGGAGCCACAAAGCUUCAAAACCUUGAGAUGAGUCUGUACUAGAAGAGAAAA